UACGGAGGGAGCUAGCGUUGUUCGGAAUUACUGGGCGUAAAGCGCAUGUAGGCGGUUCGUAAAGUCAGAUGUGAAAGCCCUGGGCUUAACCCAGGAAGUGCAUUUGAAACUCACGAACUUGAGUCCCGGAGAGGAAGGCGGAAUUCUCGGUGUAGAGGUGAAAUUCGUAGAUAUUCGCAAGAACACCAGUGGCGAAGGCGGCUCACUGGCCCGGUACUGACGCUGAGGUGCGAAAGCGUGGGGAGCAAACAGG
rnacentral:rRNA from 1 species